rnacentral:rRNA from 1 species
CAGCAGCCGCGGUAAUACGUAGGUGGCAAGCGUUGUCCGGAAUUAUUGGGCGUAAAGGGCUCGCAGGCGGUUUCUUAAGUCUGAUGUGAAAGCCCCCGGCUCAACCGGGGAGGGUCAUUGGAAACUGGAAAACUUGAGUGCAGAAGAGGAGAGUGGAAUUCCACGCGUAGCGGUGAAAUGCGUAGAGAUGUGGAGGAACACCAGUGGCGAAGGCGACUCUCUGGUCUGUAGCUGACGCUGAGGAGCGAAAGCGUGGGGAGCGAACAGGAUUAGAUACCCCCGUAGUCCCUGUCUCUUAUAC